rfam:Gonium pectorale scaffold00063, whole genome shotgun sequence.
GGGGGGGUCGUCUAACUGGUUAAGACACUGGGCUUGUCGCCAGAGAUGCGGAGUUCGAUUCCCGCUCCCCGCA